rnacentral:rRNA from 1 species
GACGAACGCUGGCGGCGUGCUUAACACAUGCAAGUCGAACGGUGAAGCGCCUUCCUUUUUGGUGGGUGUGGAUGAGUGGCGAACGGGUGAGUAACACGUGAGUAACCUGCCCCCUUCUUCUGGAUAACCGCAUGAAAGUGUGGCUAAUACGGGAUAUUCUGGGUCUGUCGCAUGAUGGGUCUGGGAAAGAUAUUGUUUCGGUGGGGGAUGGGCUCGCGGCCUAUCAGCUUGUUGGUGGGGUGAUGGCCUACCAAGGCGGUGACGGGUAGCCGGCCUGAGAGGGUGGACGGUCACACUGGGACUGACACACGGCCCAGACUCCUACGGGAGGCAGCAGUGGGGAAUAUUGCACAAUGGGCGCAAGCCUGAUGCAGCGACGCCGCGUGAGGGAUGGAGGCCUUCGGGUUGUGAACCUCUUUCGCCAGUGAAGCAGGCCUGCCUCGUUUGUGGGUGGGUUGACGGUAGCUGGAGAAGAAGCGCCGGCUAACUACGUG